UCCAAGGGCUUCAUCAACGCACUGUGCUUCUAUUCAAUCACUUUCAGGCUCAGGAAGGUUGUAGGAAAAUACUAAAUUACUACUAAUACUACUUUUGGACUGAACAACUUUACUUCUACGACUAAAAUAACAAUAAUCCUAAUUUUAUAUAUGAUUUUAUAUAUGAUGAUACAGGUGUCAUAUAUGAGGUAUCCUAUAUGGGUAUUUUACAUAUAUCUAUCUAUCUAUCUAUAUGACAGAGCAAUGGGGCAUGAGGAACAAAAUCAGAAUAUGAACAUCAAAAGAUAAACAACACAGAGAGAAGCUACAGGAGCCUGGUGUGCAGUCCCGGCUCACUAAUGUAGAAAGAACAUGACAACCAUCUGGCAGUGAUUAUCUAGCCUAGUCUGCCUCCACUGUCUUUUAUUCUGUUCUCUUAGCUUAAGGGUACAAUUAGUUUAAAGAUGGUGGACAGUUAAACUGUUCUUUUUCCUUUCCUUUUCUAGUUAAAUCUGUAGAUACCAAGGAGAUCCAAUGAAAUAAAGGAAGGUGCUGUUAAAUUUAAA